rnacentral:lncRNA from 1 species
AGAUCGAUCGAGCUGGAAGCAGCUUUCCCACAAAGUACAGUAGCAGGUCAAGGCAGGUAUACAGACAUGAUCGAUUUUACAUGAUGGCGCACGCUUGGGGAUUUUCUUCACCGAAACAAUCGGGGCGUGUCAUGCAGUAACUACUAGUGGCAUAGCUCCUCCCACCGCCGUAACUAUCAUACACUGGCCCACCGUAACCAUACCCAGUUUGGCAGGGACCACCCGGAUGCCCUCCGUAACAAUCCAUACAACACUCGCUCACCGUCACCGGAGGGUAAGCCGGAACCAGAAACAGAACCGGCUCUUCCUUCGGCUUCUCUGCCUUCUUGGGUUCGUCUUUAGGCCUUUCAGCCUCCUUCGGUGUCCCUUUAGGCUUGUCAGCAUCUAUUGGUUUCUUUUUAGGCUCCUCUUUCUUCUUCUCCUCUGGUUUCGCUUUAGGCUUCUCCUCCUUUGGUUUCUCUUUGGGCUUCUCGGGCUCUUUGAUGUCGAUGCUCUUGAUGGCGCCACCUCCUUUGCAGCAUAGCUUGUCUCUGAUCUUCUCAGGACUGCAGCAGACCACCUUGAUGAUCACCUGGUUGUUCUUCUCGUCGUACGUCUGGUCUCGUAUUUCUCUUGUUCACAAAAUCCAACCAAUACCAGAAACCACACUCAAUUUACGUUUUUUUGUUUUCUCUGCUAAAAUACACAACGUACCAGAAUGGAAGAGAAAAGAAGAAACUCACGAGGGAAUUUACAGAGAACUUUCUUAACCUUCUUGUAGCAUUUUUCACACUGAAGGUCCACCUUCAGAACCAUUAUCGUCACCUGAUGACAUUAAUACAAUCAUUUUUGCAGAAAUUAGAUAGGUAUAGAGAAUGGUUAAUUACUUCUUCUUCUUUUUUAUGUAGAAGAAGAAGUGAGUAAUUAAGAAUGGAUCGAAGAUGAUUUGAAGAUCGAUGAGGAAUCGAAUCGAUCUCUGUGUUUCUGACAGAAGAAUGAUGAGUCGGGUAUAGGCGACAAAUUGAAGAAGAAAGAGCCAAAAGCUUGAGAAUUAAAAAGUGAGGAGCAGCAGCCACAAAAAAUAAAAAUUGAGAGGAGCAGAUUUGAUGCAAUGGGCAAUCAAUCUACUUAUCUAUAUGAUGAGGAAAAAGAGCUGGAAAAGCAUAAACAACUUUCUAGUAGCUAAUGUUAAGAAAGAAAUACCUUUUUUUCCCCCAUUGUUGCAGCAGUGAGAUGGGAUCUGAUGUUCUUUGUGAACGGAACCUCCCAGCUAAAAUGAUUGAAUAGGACGGGAGUCAGUGACCCGAGUUGGCAUAUAAAUUGAGCAGCUGGCGGNNNNNNNNNNNNNNNNNNNNNNNNNNNNNNNNNNNNNNNNNNNNNNNNNNNNNNNNNNNNNNNNNNNNNNNNNNNNNNNNNNNNNNNNNNNNNNNNNNNNNNNNNNNNNNNNNNNNNNNNNNNNNNNNNNNNNNNNNNNCUCUCUCUCUCUCUCUCUCUCUCUCUCUCUCUGAUCUGAAACUUUUCCUCUCUCUCUUUCACCGAUGCCACCCUCCUUCGCCGAUGCCAUCCCACCCGCCGCUUCAUCUCCGGCUCCGACGAGGUCCGGGAGCUGCCGGAAAACGACUGCAAGAUCUGAACGAUCGCAUCCACCAAGACCCGAGGGGCCGGGCUCGUCAUUCUCAUCGACGACAUCCACUUCGGUCAAGUCCAGUGAGCCCGUCGUUGUCGCCGCCGUCGGUCAACAUCUGCACCGUUUCACAUUGGCGCUGCCUCGAGGAUCCGCGACCGAGAUGUUACCAUCGAGAUAGGACGACUCCGGAGAAGCGUUGCGCUACUACGAGUCCGAAGAGCAGCGUUCUGGUCGUUCUCCAACGUCGUCUGCACACCGUCGCUUGGAAACGUCGAUGCGAGCUGAGCUUGACGAGGCCGACGAAGAUGGAGUCGGGAGGGAAGGUGGAGGCGGCGCCAGGGAGAGGAGGCUUGGUGUUGGUGGAUUUGGAGCGGAGGAGCUCGGUGAGGACGGUCAGGAUGCGCUUGGAGUCCACGUGGACGGUGAAGAGGUUGGGGACGUUGGCGGGGUAGGCGCGGAUGACCUCCGGCUGAUCAAUCUCCUCGAUUGAAAUCCCUCAAAACUUAGGCAGGUGCAUGGCUUUGACUAGUUUUUCUCUCUAUUUUUAUGAGAUGAGAAUUUGAGAAAAGAGGAAGGGUGAAUAGGAAAAGGGACGGUGGAAUAUUGAACGUUGACGAUGUUUAUUAGUCCAGUUGUUUUGUUUUCUGAGUCCUUUCGAACUUAAAAAUGUAUGUUUAAAAUGAUUAUUGACUGACAGUAACUGAUUAUUGGGGGUCAGUAACUGAUUAUGUUCUAAUAUUUCUUUUUUCUAGUAUUAUUAAGCUGAAAUAAGUUGAUUAUUGGGGGUCAGUAAUUGAUUAUUAGAGGUUAGUAACACGAUUAUUAGGGGUCAGUAACUGGUUAUUGGGGUCAGUAACUGGUUACUGGGUGUCAGUAACUAACUGGUUACUGGGUGUCAGUAACUGGUUAUUAGGUGUCAGUAACUGGUUACUAGGUGUCAGUAACUGGUCAGUUAGUGGUUACUGGGUGUCAGUAACUAGUUAUUGGGGGUUAGUAACUGAUUAUUAUGAGUCAUUAACUUGUCAGUAACUGGUUAUUGGGAGUCAGUAACUAGUUACAGGGGAAAUUCCGGAGUCCGGCGAUCGAGGAAAUUCUGGUGACCGGAGUCCGGCGGUCGGGGAAAUUCCAGUGACCGGAGUCCGGCGGCCGGUGACCAGAGUCCGGUGAGAUUCCGGCCAAGUAUUCUCUCUUUUAUUUUCUCUCUCUAUGCAUAUGUAAGAGGUGAGGGCAAAAUAGUCUUAAAAUAAUAUGGUUAAUUUGUUAAGACUUUAGUAAAUAUUUGUGUAUUUUGGCAUAAAGAUUUGUGCAUUUGGACAUAAAAAAAUGCAUCUUAUAUUGAAAUGGGCUAAUGAAAAAGAUUUUCAUUGGAAUAAAAAUAAAAAUUUAAAUUAGUACUAAAUUGACAUUCUAAUGCAAUAGAAUGGUCUGAAUGUGGAGGAUGGACCAAAUUAAUACCGCAGUAAUAUGAUUAGGGUGUCAUUCACCCGGCCACAUCUUGUUGUUUUCGAUUCAAGUAUCAAGCACCCACAUGGCACAUGGAGCAUCCCACAACUGUCCCCGGCGCUAGUAGUUGCCACCGUCCAUCUUCGGACUAGCAAAUUGUUAUGGAUCAUUCUCCUUACCAUGAUCCACGACGUAUUACCAAGAAUACAUGAUAAGCCAUUGUUUCCCCCUUUCUUUUGCGUCUGUGACUAUCAGGACCGGGAGAGAUGAGGUUUAUUGGUCUAUGGUGUGGUGAGGGUACGGUACAUGGUUCGUUAUGGUGUUUCCUGCCUAUCCACCGUUGCAUAUGUGCGAUCGGCGUAUGAAUUUAGGUUAUAUAUAUAUAUAUUUUUUUUUUUCAUUUUAAAUGGUGGGCCUCGCAGCCAACAAAUGCCCGUCACACAUUAACCGUUAGCCCUGUAUGGUCUCCGCCUGGCCCAUAUAAAUAAUUUGUUUUUUAUAUUCUUUUUCUUUCUUUUUUAAAUGGUGGACCCCGCAUUUUGCGUGUAGCGAACCGCCUAGCCCCAAAUGAUCUCCGCCUAAUCCAUAUAAAUUAUUUUUCGUUUAUAUUUUUUUUCCUCUUAAAAUCUGGGAAGAAACCUUUAGCGGCCUUACUGUUGUUGUUGCACAGCCGACUUCUCCGUCUCCGCCACGUAAUUGGACUACGGCCAUGGUCAUAUGUCUAAACUUAACAUGUAUGUGUUGAAUUGAAGUUUCUGAGUCAGAAGGCUGUUAGAGUCAUCGAUUGCAGGUAUAUAUGGUAUAUUAUUGCCGUAUAUAUAUUGGUUGAUUGUUUAGUUUCCGAGUUGUUGUUAAGGAUCGGGUUAAAAAGAUUGAGCAUUAUAUUAUAGCUAUUUAUAGCUAUAAACAGCACAUUGCAUAUCCAUUGAUGAAUUUAUGUUAGUGAUGCAUGUUGGAAUGAAAACUGAUCGGUGUUGGCUAGUUUGGAAUGAAAACUGAUUUGGUGUUAGCAAGUUUCAAUUGAAUAAAGUUUGAAUUGCAUUUUGUAUAUUCUAGAUUAAGUUAUUAAUUGUCGCUUCUGCAUGUUGGUUUUAUUCUUGUUUUAGGACAUUUUAAUCAGGUUUCAUUUUUUGUAUAUGUUACUAUUGAAUUUGUUGUGCUAGGUUUCUUGGUUCUACUUGCUGAUGAUGAAGUUUAGGUCCUGGCAAAGUUGAUAAUUUUGUAAGCUUGUAGGUGUUUUGCCUUGUGUCAUGGUCCAUUACGAAGGGUGAUGAUCCUGCAAAUGCAGCCUUCUCGGAAGUAAGUUAAUCUCAUGAAAUUAUCUCAUCUUUUUAAUCCUUGUCAGAGCUCUAUACAUUUUUUGGUUUAAGCAUACCAGCUUGUGUUUCAAGUCAAAUUUAUUGUUUGAGAUUCAUAUCUUUUGUUUAGUCUCUGUUGUUUUACUUUUAUUCGUCUCUUUGUCCAAUUGUUAUAAGAUCCGAAAACGUUAUAUAAGAUACUAGAUUGAGAAUGUUCCAAGUUCUAAAACACCACAUAAUGUUUCGUUUCGUGCAAAGGGACCUGAGACUGGAAGUCAAGUACCAUAUGGCCUUGCAGGGGAGAGUAGUCUGGUUAAACGUGAUUGACCCAGAUUUCACUGAAAUUCUUAGGAAUGACUAGAAUCUAGUUAAACAUGCAGUUGCCCCGUUGCCCUCAUGGACCUUGUGAGAAUGUGAGUGAAAGCAGCUUCCAGUGUUCCAUUUGAGCCAUAAGUUGGGCCUUUCUGCAACGGUCACCUUGGAGGACCAUUAAGGAACCAAACAAGUGGAUCGGCCCAUUUAUGAUCUUAGCCCUAGUCUAAGCAAGAACAAUAAGAGAGAGACUUGCAUGUCAAACUAUUCACUUCUUUCAUACAUGUAUGCAUAGGAAGUAAGUAAUGGCAAACAGAUGGUAUUAUGUAGGUGAUUGUAAAUCGAACAUAAACAUAUGGUUCCAUUCAAACCGAAGGAAUAUAAUGUACAACUUUUAGUGGGCUAAUUAACACGCAUAUCAAAGUUGCUUCUCUAGCUAGUAAAAGAACUAAGAACAACGUACCCUUAUUAUACUACUCAACAGUCGUUCAUAAAUUAAACAAACUCCAGAUUUUGAGUAAUAGAAAAUGGAGUUGCAUUGGACUUGUCCUACUUCUUUGUCGGCAAUAGACGGUGUGUAUGAGUGCAAUCGCAGCAGCAUCGAAUAUUUUAACUAGUUUGUAGGCUUGGGGAUCGUUCUUUCAUGUGAAUCAAUCACACAUAUAGUUGACCUAAUUUCAUACUCGCCCACUUUUUAUACUUAGAUGCAUCCAUCGCAUGGAGAUCGAGUUGGAGACCUAGCUAGCUAGCUCAUCUUAAUUAUUGGUACCAAAUUCUUCCAACAAAUGGACAAAUAAUUCAAAAAAAUAUAUGCAUAUGUGCACAGGACAAAAUUCAUAUGCAAUUUGAUGGAACUUUUAUUUCAUUAAUGGAAUAAAGAUUGUAACAACUUCUUCUUCUUCUUCUUCUUGUAGCUAGCUCUAUAAUGGAUGGCUGGCAUGGCUAACCUGAUCGUGACAUAUCCACCACCAUCACCAUUGAUCACCAACCAUGCUUUAUUAUUUUACUUUUGUUCUAUAUAUAAAAAACAACACCAACUUUAACGUACACUGUAAAAAUGGAGACACCGAUCGAUCGAGCUGGAAGCAGUUUUCCCACAAAGUAUAGUAGAAGGUCAAGGCAGGUAUACAGAUAUGAUCGAUUUUACAUGAUGGCGCACGCUUGGGGAUUUUCUUCACUGAAACAAUCAGGGCGUGUCACGCAGUAACUACUAGUGGCGUAGCUCCUCCCACCGCCGUAACUAUCGUACACUGGCCUUCCAUAGUAGCCGUCGUACUGUAUGUAUGGUGCUGCCCCACCGUAACCGUACCCAGUUUGGCAGGGACCACCCGGAUGCCCUCCGUAACAUUCCAUACAACACGCGUUCACCGUCACCGGAGGGUAAGCAGUAACCGGAGGCUGAGUAGGCUGAGAAGGCUUCGGCUUCUCUGCGUCCUUGGGUUUCUCUUUAGGUUUUUCAGCCUCUUUAGGUUUCUCAGCCUCCUUUGGUUUCUCAGCCUCUUUUGGUUUCUCUUUAGGCUUUUCAGCCUCUUUAGGUUUCUCAGCCUCCUUUGGUUUCUCUUUAGGCUUCUCAGCCUCCUUUGGUUUCUCUUUAGGCUUCUCAGGCUCCUUGGGCUUGGGCUUCUCGGGCGGCAAGAUGUCGAUGCUCUUGAUGGCGCCACCUCCUUUGCAGCAUAGCUUGUCUCUGAUCUUCUCAGGACUGCAGCAGACCACCUUGAUGAUCACCUGGUUGUUCUUCUCGUCGUACGCCUGGUCUCGUAUUUCUCUUGUUCACAAAAUCCAACCAAUACCAGAAACCACACUCAAUUUACGUUUUUUUGUUUUCUCUGCUAAAAUACACAACGUACCAGAAUGGAAGAGAAAAGAAGAGACUCACGAGGGAAUUUACACAGAACUUUCUUAACCUUCUUGUAGCAUUUUUCACACUGAAGGUCCACCUUCAGAACCAUUAUCGUCACCUGAUGACAUUAAUACAAUCAUUUUUGCAGAAAUUAGAUAGGUAUAGAAUGGUUAAUUACUUCUUCUUCUUCUUCUUCUUUUUUUCUGCAGAAGAAGAAGUGAGUAAUUAAGAAUGGAUCGAAGAUGAUUUGAAGAUGGAUGAGGAAUUUUAUCCAUCAGGUUCUGUGUUUCUGACAGAAGAAUGAUGAGUCGGUUAUAGGCGACAAAUUGAAGAAGAAAGAGCCAAAAGCUUGAGAAUUAAAAAGUGAGGAGCAGCAGCCACAAAAAAUAAAAAUUGAGAGGAGCAGAUUUGAUGCAAUGGGCAAUCAAUCUACUUAUCUAUAUGAUGAGGAAAAAGAGCUGGAAAAGCAUAAACAACUUUCUAGUAGCUAAUGUUAAGAGAGAAAUACCUUUUUUUCCCCCAUUGUUGCAGCAGUGAGAUGGGAUCUGAUGUUCUUUGUGAACGGAACCUUCCCAGCUAAAAUGAUUGAAUAGGACGGGAGUCAGUGACCCGAGUUGGCAUAUAAAUUGAGCAGNNNNNNNNNNNNNNNNNNNNNNNNNNNNNNNNNNNNNNNNNNNNNNNNNNNNNNNNNNNNNNNNNNNNNNNNNNNNNNNNNNNNNNNNNNNNNNNNNNNNNNNNNNNNNNNNNNNNNNNNNNNNNNNNNNNNNNNNNNNNNNNNNNNNNNNNNNNNNNNNNNNNNNNNNNNNNNNNNNNNNNNNNNNNNNNNNNNNNNNNNNNNNNNNNNNNNNNNNNNNNNNNNNNNNNNNNNNNNNNNNNNNNNNNNNNNNNNNNNNNNNNNNNNNNNNNNNNNNNNNNNNNNNNNNNNNNNNNNNNNNNNNNNNNNNNNNNNNNNNNNNNNNNNNNNNNNNNNNUUUUUUUUUUUGGUCAAGAAAAAAAAAAGGGAACCAUUUAGCAAUGUUGACAUAUGCAUGGAGGUGAAACUUUCAAAAACCGCGGGCUCCAGAUAUUGACGAUUGCACGUUUCUUACACCCAGGGUCUUCGAUCUAUUACAUCUUCAUCAUGGAAAAUUAAAUUAUUAUGUUACGUACAUACAUGGAUAUGUGAUGUGGGAGUGGUUCUAAAAAUAACUAUUUAGUUGAAUAUUUUUUUAUUAAUAGUUUAUUACAUAUAUUUUUCAAUUAAUUUUUUAUCUCAACCGUUUAGUUUUUAAUAGAUCAUUUUUUUAAAUUUUCAACCAAAUUUUUGAUCGUUAAGGAAUCGAACUUAAUCAAAUCAAUUGACGAUCCUUAUCUAUUAAAUAUGAGUCGUUCAAGUUUAUAAUCGGUAAAUCACAUUUAUGAAUAUCUCAACGAUUUUAAAUUUAGAUAAAAAUUUAUAGAGAUGAUAUUUUCAUAUAUAUUUACAAAUUAGGCGGUCGAGAUGUGAACAUGUGAUUGAAAACGGAGUGAAACAAAGAAAUUUUCAAUUAGUCUUCAACUUAGUGGUCCUCGUUAGAACCACUCUCAUGUGAUACAAACAUACUUUAUUACGAGGCAAAAUUUUCCUAUCACACCAUCACCACCCUACUAGCACAUGUUCUUUUUUUCUUAGUUGUAUGUAUCAUAUACCUAUAACCUAUCUUCAUAGUAGAUAAUCCCCUUCAUCAUACAUACACGUGUUGUGUUUACACAGCUAUAUUCAAAAACUUAAUUUUAAGAUUAACCUCAUCGUCAUUCUAAUUUAAAAAUAAUAUUAUGAAAUAGCAUGUGAUCGACCUUUGGCUCUUUACUGAUGAUUGUAUUUGUGUGACUGUCUCCUCAAUUUGAUUCUUCGUCCCAUAAAAAUAAUAUAUAAGCGUAAUUAGUCUUUGUACGUAGUAUCAUCGAUCUUAUACGUACAUGGCCAUGCAUUUAUCCGUUGUAAUAUCACUGGUUAUUUGUUGAUGAGCAGACUAUAUGAUAGGUAGCUAUGUAGCAAAUUACUCAAUUCCGAGCACAAAAAUACAGCAAUCAAUUGUUUGUCUUGAUCGGUAGUCUCACUCAAUCACAUACGUAAGUGACCGGAUCACUCAUGCAUGACUCAGCUAGACCUAGAGCUGGAGGGUGGUGUCUUCAUAAGAAGUUGAAAUCUGUGAACACAGCCAUCGAAUAAAUUCAACAAAGUCCUCAGUAGUGGGCAUCGGACAACAACCUUACGCAACUUAGGCUCCAUCGAUCUCAUCAUAUAUGCUUUACAAAUAUUUCUUCUGCCGACAAUUUCACACAUUUUACAAGCCCAUAUGCCAGUCUUCUUAAAUAUAACCAAGAUAUGCCUUCCACUUAGCCCAAUGCAAUGGACCUAAUAUUAAGCCCACGCUAUAUAUGCACAAUCCGGGCCUCCCAUCUAUUCUGUACGGGAAUUAUGAUCGGUACGGUGAGUUUGAGACUCUGACCAGCAUCGUCGACGAUCCAAUGACUCGAUUCAUACACCAUUCAUGUACAAAAAACGAUACGAGUCUAUAACCAAUUUUUCAUCGAGUUUAUUGAGGCUACUGUGCACUUUGAACUCUGCACGACUCAUGCAUCUUCAAUCAUGUACGUGUAGCUAACUGAACCUGAAUCAAAUUCACACUCUUUAAAAUUAGUACUAAAUGAACAUACCUGUUCUCUUCAUUACAUAUCAGUGUAGCCGAUAUCAGCACACAUAGACAAAAGGGUGUUAUAGAGAAUUACAUUCAACUCCAUUCCCUUCUCCUUCAUCUCCUUGGCAAAGAGCCCUUGCUGAUCAUCUCUCGGUAAAUUUUCUUGGCCUGCCAAGGCCUCUUAGCUCUUCCCAUAGAAUCCAACAAAGUAUUAUAAAUAACCAUGUUCGGCUUAACCCAAAUUGCCUUCAUUUCCUCGUAAACUUUCAAGCACCCAUCAUAAUUCCCUGAUUGCCCGUGAAUCUUAAUCAACGUUGCAAAUGUCACUGGAUCAAUGCGCCAUUUCUCUGUCCUAGCGCAGUCAUACAAGCUAAAAGCCUUGUCAACAUUACCGGCACGGCCAUAUGCAUCGAUCAUAGCCGAAUAGGUAACAUCAUCAGGACUACACCCGUAACUAGGCAUCUUCUCAAACCACUCCACAGCCUUAUCAGGCAGAUAACACAUCCUAGCACAGCUAAUCAUAGUCGAAAACGUAACAUUAUCAGGUGUAACACCUCUCUCAAGCAUCUCAUUAAACAGCUUCUCUGCUCUCACUAAAUCCUUACACUUUCUAAACACUUUCAAUGUCACAUUGUAGAGAACCACUUCCCUCUUAGGUUUGAACAUGUGCUGAAAGUACUUUAGAGCAAGUAACGCAUUUUCGGGGUUACCAUGGUAUUAAGAACAACGACAGCAUCUUGUUCCAAAACCCCAUCACCUAAAGUCUUUAAAAUAUCAAAAACAUCACUUUCACUUAGGCAGACAGAGUUCAAGGACUCAGCUACUUUGACUAAAGAAGUGUACCUGGAAUCGUAGGACUUGUUCCUAAGAUGAGAAGCCCUGGGGCUGCUGGGAUUGACCCAAACAUAGCUUUUGGAGGAAGACUCGGAAUUUCCAUCGGGGUUUUCAGUUUUUGGGGUUUCUUGUAAAGAAACAUGGUUUAUUUGGAGAGAAAUUGUGGAGUGAAGAGUAGGGAAGGUGAGAUUGAAGGUGUGAGUAUCAGAGGUGGUUGGCCUGAGCUUUCUAGAGGAGGAGAGAGAGUGAGAGAGAAAGAGAGACGAGGGUGUGGAGGAUACAUGAUAAGCCAUUGUUUCCCUCUUUGUUUUGCGUCUGUGACUAUCAGGACCGAAGAGAGAGAUGAGGUUUAAUGGUCUCUGGUGUGGUGAGGGUACAUGGUUCGUUAUGGUGUUUCCUGCUUCUCCACCGUUGGAUAUAUGGGAUCGGCGUAUGAUUUUAGUUUAUAUUUGUUUUUUUUUUUCGUUUUAAAUGGUGGAUCUCGCAGCCCACAAAGGGCCGCCACACGUGGACCGCCUAGCCCUGUUUUGUCUCCGCCUAGCCCAUAGAAAUUAUUUUUUCUUUUGUAUUUUCUUUUUCUUUUUUUUAAAUCAUGGACCCCGUAUUCUGUUAAGGCCCGCUACACGUGGACCGCCUAGCGCCAUAUGGUCUCAGCCUAGCCCAUAUAAAUUACUUUUCUUUUAUAUUUUUUUUCCUCUAAAAAUCUGGGAUGAAACCUUUGGCGGCCUUGUUGUUGUUGUGUAGCCGACUUCUCCGUCUCCGCCGCGUAAUUGGACGGCAACCAUAGUCAUCUGUCUAAACAUAACAUGUAUGUGCCGAAUUGAGGUUUCUGAGUCGGAAGGUUGUUAGUCAUCGAUUGCAGGUAUAUAUGGUAUAUUACUGCCGUAUGUAUAUUGAUUGAUUUGUUUAGUUUCCGAGUUGAUUGUCAUGGAUUGGGUUAAAAAAGUUGAGCAUUAUAUUAUAGCUAUUUAUAGCUAUAAACAACACAUUGCAUAUCCAUUGAUGCAUAUAUGUUAGUGAUGUUUGAAUGAAAACUGAUUCGGUGUCGGCAAGUUUAUAAUGAAAACUGAUUUGGUGUUAGCAAGUUUCAGUUGAAUAAAGUUUGAAUUGCAUUUUGUAUAUUAUAGAUUAAGUUAUUAGUAGUCGCUUAUGCGUAUUGGUUUUAUUCUUGUUUUUGGUUUAAUCAGGUUUCAUUUUCUGUAUAUGUUACUAUUGAAUUUGUUGUGCUAGCAGGUUUCUUGGUUCUACUUGCUGAUGAUGAAGUUUAGGUAGCUGAUAAUUUUGUAAGCUUGUAGGUGUUUUGCCUUGUGUCAUGGUCCGCUGCGGAGGGUGGAUGAUCCAGCAAAUGCAGCCUGCUUGGAAGUAAGUUAAUCUCAUGAAAUUAUCUCAUGUUUUUAAUCUUUGUUAGAGCUCUAUACAUUUUUUUGUUUGAGCAUACCAGUUUCUGUGUCAAGUCAAGUUUACUGCUUGGGAUUCAGAUCUUCUAUUUAGUCUCUGUUGUUUUACUUUUAUUCGUCUCUUUGUCCAAUUGUUAUAAGAUAAAAAAAUAAAAAAAGGUUAUAUAAGAUGCUAGAUUGAGAAUGUCCCAAGUUCUAAAACACCACAUAAUGUUUCGUUUUGUACAAAAGGACCUGAAACACUGAAGGAAGAUGGUACGUAACUUAUUGUUCCUGGAAUCCAUAACUUUACAUCAACAACUUAUUGUUCCUGUAACAACUUAUUCUUCUUCUUGUACCUCUAUAAUGGAUGGCUGGCACCGUGGCGUAGCUAGCUAGGGGUCAAACGGUUCAAUUGAACCCUCUCAGAUUUUGAAAAAGCUUAAUUAGCUAGCCUUAAUGAACAAACAUAAAUUGACAUUUCUUCUUUGAGAAAUCCUUAAUUAAUCUUAAAUAUUCUUCAACACCAAUAGAAUGAAAUAAAAAUUUAUACUAUUAAAAUACUUAAUCUAAUUAAUACAAAUCAUGUAAAUAGUUUCUUACCUUACUAACGUGUACUUUAAUGCUUUGAAUUCCAUUUACGAUUUUUUUUUUCAUUACAAAUAAGCUAAAUGGAAGCAACACAUUAAUGUUUACUAUGCAUUGACACUAUCUCUAGAAAAAGAAAAGGCAACAUAUUUUUCUCAAUAUUUAUCGUGCAUGAAAUUUCAAAAUUUAUUUAAGAUGAUUAUCGUGCUAGCUAGAGAGUGAUUGAAAAUAAAUUUAAUUUAUUAGGUAAUAAAUUUUGACCAUUCUAAAUAACAUUUCUAGCUACGCCACAGAGGGACGGCUACCUGAUCGUGACAUAUCCACCACCAUCACCAUUGAUCACCAACCAUACUUUAUUAUUUACUUUUGUUCUAUAUAUAAAAAACAACACCAACUUUAAAAAACAACACCAACCUUAAAAAUAGAGAUCGGUCGAGCUGGAAGCAGCUUUCCCACAAAGUACAAUAGCAGGUCAAGGCAGGUAGACAGACAUGAUCGAUUUUACAUGAUGGCGCACGCUUGGGGAUUUUCUUCACUGAAACAAUCGGGGCGUGUCACGCAGUAACUACUAGUGGAGUAGCUCCUCCCACCGCCGUAACUAUCAUACACUGGCCUUCCAUAGUAGCCAUCGUACUCUAUGUAUGGUGCUGCCCCACCGUAACCGUACCCAGUUUGGCAAGGACCACCCGGAUGCCCUCCGUAACAAUCCAUACAACACGUGCUCCCCGUCACCGGAGGGUUAGCAGGAACAACCGGAGGCGGAGGCGGAGGUGGAGGCGGAGUAGGCUUCGACUUCUCUGCGUCCCGGAUUUGGCAGGGACAACCCGGAUGCCGUCCGUAACAAACAAUACAACACACGUUCACUGUCACCGGAGGGUAAGCAGGAAACGGAGGCGCAGUAAGCUUCGGAUUCUCUGGUUUCUUUUCAGGCUCUGGUUCCUUUUCAGGCUCUUGUUUCUUUUCAGGCUCUGGUGUCUUUUCAGGCUCUUGUUUCUUUUCAGGCUCUGGUGUCUUUUCAGGCUCUUGUUUCUGUUUAGGCUUUGGUGUCUUUUCAGGCUCUUGUUUCUUUUUAGGCUCUAAGAUGUCGAUUCUCUUGAUGGCGCCAUCUCCUUCGCAGCAUAGCUUGUCUCUGAUCUUCUCAGGACUGCAGCAGACCACCUUGACGAUUACCUGGUUGUUCUUCUCGUCGUAUGUCUGGUCUCGUAUUUCUUUUGUUCACAAAAUCCAACCAAUACCAGAAACCACACUCAAUUUACGUUUUUUUUGUUUUCUCUGCUAAAACACAACGUACCAGAAUGGAAGAGAAAAGAAGAGACUCACGAGGGAAUUUACAGAGAACUUUCUUAACCUUCUUGUAGCAUUUUUCACACUGAAGGUCCACCUUCAGAACCAUUAUCGUCACCUGAUGACAUUAAUACAAUCAUUUUUGCAGAAAUUAGAUAGCAGGUACAGAAUUUUAAGGAGGUUAAUUACUUCUUCUUCUUCUUUUUUAUGCAGAAGAAGUGCGUAAUUAAGAAUGGAUCGAAGUUGAUAUAUGUUUUCUGGUUUUGAAGAUCGAUGAGGAAUCGAAUCCAUCAGGUUCUGUGUUUCUGACAGAAGAAUGAUGAGUCGAGUAUAGGCGACAAAUUGAAGAAGAAAGAGCCAAAACCUUGAGUUAAUUGAGAGGAGCAGAAUUGAUGAAAUGGGCAAUCAAUCUAUUUAUCUAUAUGAUGAGGAAAAAGAGAUGGAAAAGCAUAAACAACUUUCUGGCAGCUAAUGUUAAGAGAGAAAUACCUUUUUUUCGCCCAUUGUUGCAGGAGUGAGUGAUCAGAUGGGAUCUGAUGUUCUUUGUGAACGGAACCUCCGAGCUAAGAUGAUUGAGUAGGACGGGAGUCACUGAGCCGAGUUGGCAUAUAAAUUGAGCAGCUGACAAUUAUUAUGAGAAAUUAGCUAGCUUGCCCUGUAUAGAUUAUUAUUCCGAUCAUGGUGUGAUGAUCAUAAUGAAUCAAAAGUGGAGUAGGAGUAGAAUUAGAUUGCAAGAAAAGGAUGGUAGUACAUAUAUGGCAUGGGGACUGUUGGGGAGGGUUUAUCAAGCUAGUUAGCUAGAAGAAUGGUCUGAAUGGAUCAAAUUAAUACUGCAAUAAUAUGACUAGGGUAUCAUAUACCCGGCCACAUCUUGUUUUCGAUUUAAAGCAUCAUGCACAUGGAACGUCCCACAUCUUGUUGUUUUCGAUUUAAAGUAGUGCCACCUUCCAUCUUUGGACUAGCCAAUUGUUCUCGGGCAUUCUCCUUUUAAUGAUCCACGCACGUACUACCAAGAAUAGCCGCCAGUGAUUCACACGUUUCGGAUCGAAAUUAGUUUUUCCUUUGUCAUAGAACAUUCGGAGCAAGUGAACCAUUAGCAAUGUUGACGUAUGCAUGGUGACGAUUGCACAUUUCUUAUUUCUUACACCCGGGGGGGGGUUCUUCGAUUCGAUCUUUUACAUCUUCAUUAUGCUACGUAAAUGGAUAUAUGUGAUACAAACAUACCUUAUUUACGAGGCAAAAUUUUCAUAUCACACCACCACCGCCCUGUUAAGCUAGCACAUGUUUUUUCUUCUUAAUUUUAUGUAUCACUAGUCUCUUAACAUAUGCACGUUCACACGUGUGUCAAUUUGUUUUUAUCCUUUUGAUUUAUAUUUUUCAGAUUUUAAUUGCAAAUAACUGUUAAUGCAGUUAUCAUUCAGCAAAAACUGCUACAAGUUUUUCUCCCUUUUUUUUGUUUUUUGUUUUCUUCUUUUAUAUGUUGAAAUUACUUUAUUUUGUUGUCAUUUUACGAUAUUAACCAUCCUUGAUUUUUUUUUCCUGUGUCAAAACUCCUCUUUCGUGGGUAAUAUAGAUAGUUCAUAAAAUAAAUUUCACCAUGACACCAAAAAGAUUGCAUGGCUUUCUAAUAGUAGAGAUAUACUCAUCUUCAUAGUAAAUAAUCCCCUUCAUCGUACCCGUAUUGUGUUUACACAGCUACAUUCAAAAACUUUAUUUUAGGCAUUAUCAUCCUAAUUCAAAAAUAAUAUUAUGAAAUGGUACGUGAUAGACCUUUGGCUCUUUAUUAAUGAUUGUAUUUGUGUGACUUAAUUUGUCUCUUAAAUUUGAUUCUUCGUCCCAUAAAAAUAAUAUAUAAGCCUAAUUAGUCUUUGUACGUAGUAUCAUCGAUCUUAUACGUACAUUGUCAUGCAUUUAUCUGUUGUAAUAUCAUCGGUUAUUUGUUGACGAGCAGAAUAUAUGGUAGGUAGCAAAUUACUUAAUUCCGAGCACAAAAAUACAGAAAUGAAUUGUUUGUCUUGAUCGGUGGGUGGUGUCUUAAUUCCAAUCAUCUGGUAGGUAGCAAAUUACUUAAUUCCAAUCAUUUGUCUAGACCUAGAACUGGAGGGUGGUGUCUUCUUAAGAAAUUGAAAUCUGUGCACACAGCCAUCGAAUAAAUUCAACAAAGUCCUCAGUGGUGGACUGGUGGGCAUUGGACAACAACCUUACGCCACUUCGGCUCCAUCGAUCUCAGCAUAUAUGCUUUACAAAUAUUUCUUCUGCCGACAAUUUCACCCACGCUAUAUAUGCACAACCCAGGCCUCCCAUCUAUUCUGUCCGGUACGGUGAGUUUGAGACCGAUCAGCAUCGUCGACGAUCCAAUGACUCAAUUCAUACACCAUUCAUGUACAAAAACCAAACGAGUUUAUAACCAAUUUUUCAUCGAGUUUAUUGAGGCCACUGUGCAUUUUGAACUCUGAACGACUCAUGCAUCUUCAAUCAUGUACGUGUACCUAACUGAACCUAAAUCAAAUUCACGUACACUAUAAUCCAUAUACCCCUCCCUCUACAACCAACUAAAAUGUACGAUGAUCAUGGUAAAUUGGAGUGUGUAUCACUGUGUCACAACUAUUACAGGGUAAGAAAAAAAUGACCCGUCAAUGGUGUAUAUGGGUUGGCCUUGUGCACCAGCUUGUAAUCCACGGAAGGGCCGGAUGUGAUUUCUUCGACUGUUGUCGAGGCACUGAACUCUUCUACUCCUCCAUUAAAGACUACUACCUUGAUCUUCUCUUGGGGCGGAUGGAACGGAGCACAGAUACAGUUUCCCAUGGUAGUUCUUGAAUAUCGAUGACUGCUACUGCAAAAGAAUUAGGAGUCUCAUCGUUUUAUAGUGUGGCUCUGGCUUUGAUCAUAUUCCACAUGGGAAGGCAGUUUGACGUGCAAGCCAUGUUUACAAGCUUUUAACACCAAUACUAAUAUGGGGUUAUUUUUAGUUCCCAAAGUCAACUAGUUGUGUGCAUCUAGAACUAGGCAGUCUAAACAAGCAUUAUGAUAAUACGAACUACAUCAAAGUCAAAUGGCCGGUCUGUGCAGAAGACCCCUUGCUGAUCAUCUCUCGGUAAAUUUUCUUGGCCUGCCAAGGCCUCUUAGCUCUUCCCUUGGCAUCCAACAAAGUAUUAUAAAUAACCAUGUUCGGCUUAACCCCAAUUGCCUUCAUUUCCUCGUAAACAUUCAAGCACCCAUCAUAAUUCCCCGAUUGCCCGUGAAUCUUAACCAACGUUGCAAUUGUCACUGGAUCAAUGCGCCAUUUCUCUGUCCUAGCGCGGUCAUACAAGCUGAAAGCCUUGUCAACAUUACCGGCACGGCCAUAUGCAUCGAUCAUAGCCGAAUAGGUAACAUCAGGACUACACCCGUAACUAGUCAUCUUCUCAAACCACUCCACAGCCUUAUCAGGCAGAUAACACAUCCUAGCACAGCUAAUCAUAGUCGAAAACGUAACAUUAUCAGGUGUACCACCUCUCUCAAGCAUCUCAUUAAACAGCUUCUCUGCUCUCACUAAAUCCAUACACUUUCUAAACACUUUCAAUGUCACAUUGUAGAGAACCACUUCCCUCUUAGGUUUAAACCUCUGCUGAAAGUACUUUAGAGCAAGUAAGGCAUUUUCGGGGUUACCAUGGUAUUAAGAACAACGACAGCAUCUUGUUCCAAAACCCCAUCACCUAAAGUCUUUAAAAUAUCAAAAACAUCACUUUCACUUAGGCAGACAGAGUUCAAGGACUCAGCUACUUUGACUAAAGAAGUGUACCUGGAAUCGUAGGACUUGUUCCUAAGAUGAGAAGCCCUGGGGCUGCUGGGAUUGACCCAAACAUAGCUUUUGGAGGAAGACUCGGAAUUUCCAUCGGGGUUUUCAGUUUUUAGGGUUUCUUGUAAAGAAACAUGGUUUAUUUGGAGAGAAAUUGUGGAGUGAAGAGUAGGGAAGGUGAGAUUGAAGGUGUGAGUAUCAGAGGUGGUUGGCCUGAGCUUUCUAGAGGAGGAGAGAGAGUAAGAGAGAAAGAGAGAGGAGGGUGUGGAGGAUACAUGAUAAGCCAUUGUUUCCCUCUUUGUUUUGCGUCUGUGACUAUCAGGACUGAAGAGAAAGAUGAGGUUCGAUGGUCUAUGGUGUGGUGAGGGUACAUGGUUCGUUAUGGUGGUUCUUGCUUCUGCACCGUUGGAUAUGUGGGAUAGGCGGAUGAUUUUAAUUUAUAUUUGUUUUUUUAAAUGGUGGGCCUCGCAGCCCGUAAAAGCCCGCCACACGUGGCGGUGGACGCCUAGCCCCGUAUGGUCUCCGCCUUGCUCAUAAAAAUUAUUUUAUCUUUUGUAUUUUCUUUUUUCUUCUUUUUUAAAUGGUGGCCCCGCAUUCUGCUAAGGCCUGCUACACGUGUACCGCCUAGCCCAACAUGGUCUCCACCUAACCCAUAUAAAUUAUUUUUCUUUUAUAUUUUCUUUCCUCUUAAAAUCUGGGAUAAAACCUUUGGCGGCCUUAUUGUUGUUGCGCAACCAACUUCUCUGUUUCCGCCGCGUAAUUGGACGGCGGCCAUGGUCAUCUAUCUAAACUUAACAUAUAUGUGCCGAAUAGAAGUUUCUGAGUCGGAAGGUUGUUAGUCAUCGAUUGCAGGUAUAUAUGGUAUAUUACUGCCAUAUGUAUAUUGGUUGAUUUGUUAAGUUUCCGAGUUGAUUGUCAUGGAUUGGGUUAAAAAGGUUGAGCAUUAUAUUAUAGCUAUAAACAACACAUUGCAUAUCCAUUGAUGAAUUUAUGUUAGUGAUGUUGGAAUGAAAACUGAUUCAGUGUUGGCAAGUUUGGAAUGAAAACUGAUUCGAUAUUAGCAAGUUUCAAUUGAAUAAACUUUGAAUUGCAUUUUGUAUAUUCUAUAUUAAGUUAUUAGUUGUCGCUUCUGCGUAUUGGUUUUAUUCUUGUUUUUGGACAUUUUAAUCAGGUUUCAUUUUCUGUAAAUGUUACUAUUGAAUUUGUUGUGCUAGGUUUCUUGGUUCUACUUGCUGAUGAUGAAGUUUGGGUCCUGGCAAAGUUGAUAAUUUUGUAAAGACUUCAGAUCAUUUUAUUAACAAUCCAACGGUUAUCGUGAGUUCGUCCCUUUCCGUCCCUUAAAUAUUAUCCCGCAGGUGAGCAGCCCUGCUAUAAUGGAUGGCUGGCAUGGCUACCUGAUCGUGACAUUACACCACCAUCACCAUUGAUCACCAACCAUACUUUAUUAUUUACUUUUGUUCUACGUAUAAAAAACAACACCAACUUUAACGUACACUGGUAAAAUAGAAACACCGAUCGAUCGAGCUGGAAGCAGUUUUCCCAUAAAGUACAGUAGCAAGUCAAGGCAGGUAUAGAGACAUGAUCGAUUUUACAUGAUGGCGCACACUUGGGGAUUUUCUUCACUGAAACAAUCGGGGCGUGUCACGCAGCAACUACUAGUGGCGUAGCUCCUCCCACCGCCGUAACUAUCAUACACCGGCCUUCCAUAGUAGCCAUCGUACUCUAUGUAUGGUGCUGCCCCACCGUAACCGUACCCAGUUUGGCAGGGACCACCCGGAUGCCCUCCGUAACAAACAAUACAACACGCACUCACCGUCACAGGAGGGUAAGCAGGAAACGGAGGCGCAGAAGGCUUCGGCUUCUCUUCAGGCUUCUGGUUUUCUGCCACUGGUGGCUUCUCUACCUUGGGCUUGGGCUCUUUGAUAUCGAUGCUCUUGAUGGCGCCACCUCCUUUGCAGCAUAGCUUGUCUCUGAUCUUCUCAGGACUGCAGCAAACCACCUUGAUGAUCACCUGGUUGUUCUUCUCCUCGUACGUCUGGUCUCGUAUUUCUCUUGUUCACAAAAUCCAACCAAUACCAGAAACCACACUCAAUUUACGUUUUUUUGUUUUCUCUGCUAAAACACAACGUACUAGAAUGGAUGAGAAAAGAAGAGACUCACGAGGGAAUUUACAGAGAACUUUCUUAACCUUCUUGUAGCAUUUUUCACACUGAAGGUCCACCUUCAGAACCAUUAUCGUCAUCUGUUGACAUUGAUACAAUCAUUUUUGCAGAAAUUAGAUAGGUAUAGAAUGGUUUUAAAAAAUAAAAAAUAAAUAAAAAUUAUUAAUAGCUCACCCACCUUACAUAUUUUUAGUGAGAUUUUAAAUCUAUAACCUCAAAGUUAUUAGUUAAAUAUUUUAACCAACCAAGCCGUAAUGGUUAAUUACUAUUUUUUUUAUGCAGAAGAAGAAGUGAGUAAUUAAAAAUGGAUCGAAGAUGAUUUGAAGAUGGAUGAGGAAUCGAAUCCAUCAGGUUGUGUGUUUCUGACAGAAGAAUGACGAGUCGGGUAUGGGCGACAAAUUGAAGAAGAAAGAGCCAAAAGCUUGAGAAUUAAAAAGUAAGGAGAAGCAGCCACAAAAAAUAAAAAUUGAGAGGAGCAGAAUUGAUGAAAUGGGCAAUCCAUCUACUUAUCUAUAUGAUGAGGAAAAAGAGCUGGAAAAACAUAAACAACUUUCUGGCAGCUAAUGUUAAAAAAGAAAUACCUUUUCUUCGCCCCCCAUUGUUGCAGCAGUGAGAUGGGAUCUGAUGUUCUUUGUGAACGGAACCUCCCAGCUAAGAUGAUUGAAUAGGACGGGAGUCACUGAGCCGAGUUGGCAAUUAAAUUGAGCAGCUGGCAGUUACUAUGAGAAUUAAUGCUGAAAUAAUAUGACUAGGGUACCAUGCACCCGGCCACAUCUUGUUGUUUUCGAUUCAUAGUAUCAUGCACCGAGAUGGCACAUGGAACGUCCCACUGCUGUCCCCGGCUAUAGUAGUUGCCACCAUCCAUCUUUGGACUAGCAAAUUAGCUAGCCAAUUAGUUUUUCCUUUGUCCUAGAACAUUCGAAGCAAGUGAACAAUUAGCAAUGUUGACGUAUGCAUGGUGAUGACACUUCCAAAAACCGGGGGGUCCAGAUACUGACGAUUGCACAUUUCUUAUUUCUUACACCCAGAGGGUCUUCGGUCGAUCUUUUACAUCUUCAUCAUGGAAAAUUAUGCUAUGUAAAUGGAUAUAUGUGAUACAAACGUACUUUAUUUACGAGACAAAAUUUUCAUAUCACACCACCAACACCCUGCUAGGCUAGCACAUGUUCUUUCCUUUUAGUUUUAUGUAUCACUAGCCUCUUAACGCAUGCACAUUCACGUGUGUGUCAAUUUGCUUCUAUUCUUUUAUUUUAUAGUUUUUUUAUUUUAAUUACAAAUAACUGUUAAUGUAGUUGUCGUUCAGCAAAAACUACUCAACGUUUUUCUCCUUUGUUUUGUUUUGUUUUUUUUUGCUUUUAUAUUUUGAAAUUACUUUAUUUUGUUGUCAUUUUACGGUAUUAACCAUCCUUAAUUUUUUUUUUCAAUGUCAAAACUUCUCUUUCGUGGGUAAUAUAGGUAGUUCAUAAAAAAAAAUUCAUCAUGACACAAAAAAGGGUGACUAGCUUUCUAAUAGUAGAGAUAUACUCAUCUUCGUAGUAAAUAAUUCCCUUCAUCGUACCCGUAUUGUGUUUACACAGCUACAUUCAAAAACUUAAUUUUAGGAUUAACCUCAUCAUCAUCCUAAUUCAAAAAUAUUAUUAUGAAAUGGUACGUGAUAGACCUUUGGCCUUUUAUUGAUGAUUGUAUUUGUGUGACUUAAUUUUUCUCCGGGAUUUGAUUCUUCGUCCCAUAAAAAUAAUAUAUAAGCCCAAUUAGUCUUUGUACGUAGUAUCAUCGAUCUAAUCCGUUGUAAUAUCACUGGUUAUUUGUUGAUAAGCAGAAUAUAUGGUAGGUAGCAAAUUACUUAACUCCGAGCACAAAAAUACAGAAAUGAAUUGUUUGUCUUGAUUGGUGGUCUCACUCAAUCACUUACGUAAGUAACCAACCGGAUUAGUGGAUCACUCUAUAUCUCUAUAUAUUAAGCGGAUAGGGGGAUUACUGUUCACGGAACAGUGUCAUUUUUAACGUCUAGCCCGUUAGCACGAAUUGACUGUUGUACCCUUUGCUGUUGUUUUGCCAUCCGUGCUAUUCUAUCGUUGACGCACCACUUCGUUUAUCUUUGUUUAACACAAUCAGAACGCCAUUAUUUAUUAAGCGGAUAGGGGGGAUUAUUGUUCACAGAACAGUGUCAUUUUUAAUGUGUAGCCCGUCAACACGAAUUGAUUGUUGUAUCCUUUGCUGUUGUUUUGCCAUCCGUGCUAUUCUAUCGUUGACGCAGCUCUUCGUUUAUCUUUCUUUAACACAAUCAGAACACCAUUUAUGUCUUUAUAAGUGUACGCGUUGGCUUCUACUGUUUCCACCAGCAACAAUUCUAAAGGAGAAGAGAUGCCAUGCGGCUACAAUUACAAUGCUACUUUUCUGAAACUCUAAAUGAAUACCACCCAACUUAGACUAGCAAAAUACCAUGUGAAUUGUGAAACGGAGGUGACAAUGUUGAUGAACAAUUUAAUUGUCUGAUCUUUUCUAGAAGAGUGCUAGAUGUAGUAAAUAUGUACCAAAGAUCUUGAUCCUUGAAUAAACAUGAGGUAGAACUAGGUUUGCUUCGUCGUGUGACAAAUCUAUGUGCCUGGUCAUGGCAUCCAUGUACGUGUUGGGGUCUUAGAGAGAUUCCUUUGGUGUUUUCAUUGAUGAGUCUGUAAGGAAGCUCUGUGGUUCCCUGAGUUUCUGAUGCGUCCCGGAGUUCACCAUAUAGAAUUUGUGAAGGAUCUUGAAGAUCAUAGUUACAUUUUAUAGUCUGAUCAGAUUUGAUUUUGGUCAGAAAAUUUAGAUGGACUCGUAAUUAAUAGACAUGUGAAACGGAAAUGACAAUGUUGAUGAACAAUUUGUCUGAUCUUUCAAGCUGUAGCUGCCAAACAAUUUGAGAUGUACAGUAGCAUUAUGCCGAACAAUUUGUCUUGCUUCCAUAUUCAGAAUGAAAUAAUAAACGCUUGUGACAGAUAUAGAUGAUUACAUUGAAAGCUUUCUUUCUUUCUUUUUCUUAAAUUGCUCACAUAGACUAGUAUGCAUGACUCAGCUAGCUAGACCUAGAGCUGGAGGGUGGUGUCUUCAUAAGAAGUUGAAAUCAAUAAAUUCAACGAAGUCCUCGGUGGUGGGCAUCGGACAACAACCUUACGCUUGGCUCCAUCGAUCUCAUCAUAUAUGCUUUAUAAAUAUUUCUUCUGCCGACAAUUUCACACAUUGUACAGGCCCAUAUGGCAGUCUAUUCUUAAAUAUUACCAAGAUAUGCCUUCCACUUAGCCCAAUGCAAUGGACCUAAUAUUAAGCCCACGCUAUAUAUGCACAAUCCGGGCCUCCCAUCUAUUCUGUACGGUACGGUGAGUUUGAUACUCUGAUCAGCAUCGUCGACGAUCCAAUGAAUCAAUUCAUACGUACACCAUUCAUGUACAAAAACGAUACGAGUUUAUAACCAAUUUUUCAUCGAGUUUAUUGAGGCCACUGUGCGUUUUGAACUCUGAACGACUCAUGCAUCUUCAAUCAUGUACGUGUAGCUAACUGAACCUGAAUCAAAUUCACGUACACUCUAACUCGAACUCGUUUUUACAGAACUGUCUCGUUUUCAAGUCGUCAUACAAUAGACAAAAUUAACCAUUUAAAGGAAGAAGCAUAAAUGGAAAGGAGCUAAUCGGUUGAUGAAUGACACAGUUGUUCGAUCGAUGUUGCCAAAAUAUCUUCCCGACACAAGUCUAACUCAAAGUCCUCAAACCAAAUUAUUACUCUGAAAGUAAUCCAGAGUGGUGGGGUGGCUUGGCUAUUGCAAAGGGAAUAGGGCAACUCUGCCAAACAUAUAUAUCGACCUGCAAGUCUAUAUCCUAUAUCGCACGGCCUUUAUUGAUGUAUUGGUAGCAGAAAGGACCCGAUCGAUCCCUUGGUUUCUGUAUGGUUAGGUAUGGAUUGGCUUAAUCAUCAUAUAUGCAUCCACAAUUCAUGGCCUUGUGUUUAUUGGUGUACUACCCCCGAUCGAUCACCUCUCCCUCCAUUAAGCCAGCUAGCUGGGAAUCGAAGGACCACCAGUUCUUACGUCAAUUCAUGAAGUUUCGGUGCUGUGGAGUUAUCACGAACUUUUGCUUUCAGGAUUCCAGGAGAUGAGAUUUCAGAAUCACCCUUUUGAUCUAUAGACAAAAAGCUCUGCUGCUUUCGACCUCUAUCUUAAUUGGCACCAUCUUAAUUUCAUUUUCUAACUGCUUGUUUUGUAAUAAGCUUGCAUCUCAUCUCAUCUAUAACUGAACAGCCAUAUAUAAUCAUUUAGCAAGACCCAUGCAAGCACUGCAGGAUCCAAAGCUGAUCCCGUGUAUAUUUAGGCUAGCUAGCUGAUCGGGUCAUGAUUCAUUUUUCUACUUCCUAAUUCGUUUAUGGAUUAUGAUAAUUCACCUAGUAAAUAGUAAUCGAUCAAAGAAACCAAAAGUGAAAGAAUCAAUCACGUACCAAAUAGUGCUGUAGCUCGUUUCUAGGUCAAAUCUUUUGGCCUGUUUCCGGUGUUUGCGAGCAGACUUGGCAUUUUCCUUUGCCCUAAACAAAGAAAACCCUAAGAUUUUGUAUGGGAUUCUUUCAUGAUUGGUAUUGGGUGUCUAGUGGGUUACGUGAGGACAAGAAUGGCCAAUAUAUACCGAUCACAUCCAUUCUUUUCAUUCUCCUUCUACUUCUUCUGCUUCUUGUUCCUUUUUCUUAUUUUUUGGUUCUCCUAUAUAUGCUUCCUUUCAGUUGGCUGGAUUAGCUCGAUCAUGGCCUCAUGAGUCGCUAGCUACUACUCGAUCUCAUUCCAUCGGAGACCAGCCAAUAAUAGGUGAUCGAUGAUGGUGAUGAUGAUAAUGUUUUAAAGUGUCAGUAGUUUUGUAUGACGAAGAUGGACCCCAAUGGAUUCCCGCCACCCAAGUUUGGGCUUUUAGUCCACAAGAUAACUCACAUUUGUGGGGUGUUCGUAAUCGUAGCUUUGGGGCUUGGAAUCCAAAACCCUGGGACCCUGCCUGGACUCCAAUGCAUUCACUGCGACAGUCAUUCUUUCCUCCUCCACACAAUUUUGGCUUCUAAUUAGUUUUCCAUCGGCUUAAUUUCUUCUGAAAAUUAAAUAUCAUAAUUAGUUACUUGUCUCAGAAAAAUGAUCCCAUCUCAUCGAGUGCAUGCAGUACUGUUGUUGUACGUAUUCCAAAUCAGACUUUUUAACAAAUUAACAUAAUUAAUUAACAUACAUAUAUGAUUGAGUUAAUUUCCUCAUGAUCAGUGCUGCUACUGCUGAUUGAUCACUUCCACAAUAACAUAAUUAACAUUAAAGAAAAAGAUGAAGCCUAUCGACAUUUGAUUUGAUCGAAAGGUGGCUACUUUGGUUUGAUUGUACGUAGAAAGUAAUGGAUGCUUAUACUGAAACCUUAUCAGCACUAAUUCAAUAGCUUUUUGGGUUAGCUAGUUCAUCCUUAAUUAGCUGACUGCAGAUGUACAUUAGCUUUUCCUAUAUGAUCUUUUACUUUCUAGGUUGCUUUGCAAUGAUCAGAUACGGUGAGCAUCCAAGCGAUCAAAACUAGCCUCUCUUUUUGCUCGAUCAGUGUAGAUAUUGCAUCGGCUUUUCUUCGAUCAACUUGACAAAGUAAUAUGAUUGAGUUCUUAUAGCAAAGGAACAGUGUUAACCAUUUUGUUACCAUGCACCGGCCCUGUGUUUUCUGGGUAAAUGAGUGUUUGUCCUAGCUAGUGUUUAAUCAAUACAGGGCGGUGCUGCGUCCCUACGUAGACCCCCGAAGAGAAGCCAUUUAGAGGGAAUUGAAGGGCAAAUAACGAGCGAGUGAGUCAGCAUGGUCGUAUGGUCUAGUCUGCAUUAAACAAUUCCACAUCAGAUAUGCGGAAUUCCCACGUAACAUAAAUGUCCUUGCGUCCCCUUCUUUCUUCCCACUCCACUCCACUCCCCAAGUCAUUUCAUUUCCAUUCAUUUCUAUUCAACAACCAGAGCGGGGUGAAAACUAGUGGCUCUACUUCUCUCUUGCAGUUGCAGAAGGCAGAAGCAGAUCUAAUUAACCUAUAUAUUGUCUGCAUCUUCCAAACAAUAAUAGUCAAAGCUAGCUACCUUUGGAUAGCUUAAUUUCUGAAGCAGAAGAAGUACUGUUUAGAAUCAACCAGCUCAGCUCAUCUAGCACAGAAAUGGGUGAAGUAAGUAUUCAUGUGAACUGAAUAUCCUCUAGCUUCUUAAUAGUGUCAACGUACACUAUUCUUGUUUUGGUUAGCUCACGCUUGUUCUCCACUGCAGUUUUGAACAUUUUGUCUCUGAUACACUAGUUUUCAUGCAUCCUCGACCUCCAUGUCCGGUUUUUUGUUAGUUCUUCAUGUCUCUGGCAUUAAUGUCGUUUGGAUCUGAACAGGAAAACAAACCAGAGGAGAAGAAGGAGGAAGAGAAGAAAGAAGAAGCGCCACCCGAGAUUGUGCUCAAGGUUGAUAUGCAUUGUGAAGCUUGCGCCAGGAAAGUUGCUAGAGCCUUGAAGGGUUUUGAAGGUCAGUUCUUCUUUCAGUGAUCAGUUCAGUUCUUCUUUGAGCUUUGAUUUUUAAGUAUAUAUGUUCUAUGAAUAUUCAAACUUAAAUCUUGAAUUAUCUGCCUCUCUCGUGCACCUCUCUAGCUCUAUCUCAGCACUUGAUGUUUAGCAAUUUGCACGUUUAAAUUCUCAGAUGAUGAAUUGAAGAUUUUGUAGUUGGUUAAGGCCAGGCUUAAUUAGGAUGGGUAUGUGGAGUUAAUAUAUAAUUAAAUUAAUAUAUGGAAUGGAAUCUGGGUGCAUAUAUGCAGGAGUGGAGGAGGUAACUACAGACAGCAAAGCGAGCAAGGUGGUGGUGAAAGGCAAAGCAGCAGACCCCAUAAAGGUGUGCGAGAGAUUACAAAAGAAAAGUGGCAAAAAAGUGGAGCUGAUUUCACCUUUGCCUAAACCACCGGCCGAGGAGGAGAAGAAAGAGGAGCCCAAAGAACCAGAGAAAAAGGAGGAGAAAAAAGAGGAGGUAACUAACUGAUGACUCCCUUCAUUCUUUUUUACCUCAUUCAUCUGGAGCCUGGAGCGAUCCAAGUAAAAUAGUGAAACCUAAACAGUUCAAAUUUGUAGGUUUUAGGAUAUGGAUGGGGCUGUGGACCCAGUUCCCUAAACAGUGAAAUUUAAAAUGUGAGUGGCUAAAAACUGACCUGUGAGUGUGGGACUGGGUGUUUAAAAUGCUGACAUGAAAGUAACAAUUCAAAGCCCGCAAAAUGACACCCCACCCAUGUCCACAUUCCACAGUGUAAGCUAAUUAGGCACACUUCACAAGAAAUAUAUAACAAGAUUAAUUUUGUCCACUACUUUGACCCACCAUCUUUCACCACUCACCAUGCUGUGUUGUUUCUUUCAUGUUCUACGACAACACAAACAUGAAACAUGUACUGCACUGCAGCUGUAAUAACCAUCGCCAUUUUCAUACAAUCUUUUUUACGUUCAUAGACUACCAACAAUUACUUGGAAGAUAAAUGAUUAGUGUCACAGGCAAAUUACUAUGCUCAUUGCCAUUCCUUGUUAGGAAUGAUAUAUUAUGCAAAAGAAAAGAGGCGCUCUGCCUCUAGAUUCUGCUGGCAUGGCAUGGAUAUAUGUAUAAGCAAAUAUAUAUAGGCAAGCCAGAGCCAGGCAGUCAUAUAUCCUUUGUAUCAAUCAUCGAGACUUGCUUCUUCGUUGUCGUACCUGUAUUGUUUUACUCGAUCUCCUUUUCUCGCUCACAUUGGAAGCUGCGUCGACUCCGUCGGCAUGGCCUCACCCAAUUCACCAUGCAUGUGACUCCACCUUAAUUUGCUCUCCUCCACUCCCUUUAUCCAGCUCUUUCUUUGAUCCCCUGCCUUUUGCUAACGGAACCUUUACCAACAUCCCUCAAACCAAACGAGUCCUUGUGAAAAAAAAAAAGAAAAAAAAAAGGACAACACACGUACGUAGCUUAGUUACGUGCGAGCUGGUCUUUCUCUCUAUCAAUUUUUCCAGACACUCCCUAACUAUACACGUACAGCAUGCCUCCAGUGAUUCGUUUGAUCAUGUCUACCCUUAUAAUUUGUGACAUUUAUCAUCUAAAUUAAGAGACACUAAAGAGAUAUGGUGCUUAAAACCCCGGGAAAAAAAAAAGAGCAGAUGGUGUUUGAUUUUGUUUCUUACUUAUUUUCAACUCGAUGUCUUGUCAGCCUCCCGCUGUUGUUACAGUGAUUUUGAAAGUUCGAAUGCACUGUGAAGCAUGUGCUCAGGUUUUACAGAAGCGAAUCCGAAAGAUCCAAGGUAUAGUACAUUUAUGCCAAACUCGUACCUAUUCAGUACGUUAUUCUGGAUUUUUCAUGCAGUAAGUUCUCUGCAUACCUACGUAUAAUGCCUAUAUAUAAUCAAGUUGUUCUCUGUGUGGAUAUGAUUAUGCUGUAUAUGUCUGAAAAAUGAUUCGGUGUGUGUGCAUGUGUUGCAGGUGUGGAAUCAGUAGUAACAGACGUUGGUAACGACCAGGUUGUAGUAACAGGUGUUGUGGAUCCAGCCAAGCUUGCAGAUGAUGUCUACAAAAAAACCAGGAAGCCCGUUUCCAUUGUGCCCAAGGAGGAAGAGAAGAAGGAAGAAGAAAAAAAGGAGGAGAAGAAAGAAGAAACCAAAGAUGAAGAGAAGAAGGAAGGGGAAACAGUAGAAGGCAAGGGAUCAGAUGAUAACAAGAGUUUUGAUAUCAAGCGGAGCGAAUAUUGGCCAUCAAAGCACUACUCGGAUUAUGCAUAUACCCCACAGAUUUUCAGUGAUGAGAACCCUAAUGCCUGCUCUGUUAUGUGAUCGAUGACAAGCUUGGACGAGUACUCCAUCAAUCAUCUCUGUAACAUUUUGCCUAAUAUAUGUCUAAUUAUGAAUCGAUUAAUAAGAAACUUAAGACAACGUGUUUCAUCAUGCCAUCCUUUGGCAUGCAAUGUAUCCUAGAUAUUAUAUAUAUCCUGUGAUUUUGGGAGGUUUGUAGUACUUAAUUGAUAUAUGCCUGUAGUAAUUAAUGGGUUACUUGUUGAACUGACUGCCUCAGUAGCAAGUUUUAUCGUAAAAAGUUGAUAACUACUCCGAACUGUGAAUUUUGAUACGUUUGAAAGAUGACUAAGUAGAUCGAAAAACCUUGCUCAUCAUCCAGGAAUUAAUGAUAUUCCGUGAAGAUUUAGCUAGGACGGAUGGUCAUCUCCAUUCCCGCGCCAACAGGCCCAUUGCCAUCCUUAAUUCUGGCCGGGCUGCUUUCAUAUAUGGAAACUGGGCUUACGAAGGAAAAGAGAGGUUGGAUGCAUUGUUUAUAGGUACUUGGAGCUAAUUGAAGAGAGGCCAGAAAGUUAAUUUGCAUGUUGAAGUAUGGAUCCCUAGGGAUAUGGCUUACUGCUGCCAGAAAAGAGAAAAUUAAGGGAAUAAUGAAAGAGCAACUAAUAAAUGAUUGAAUGGAGCAGAUUGCAGGACACAAAAUAUAGCUAGGAAUCUAUACGAAUACGAUCCAAUUCAAUUUUAAGUGAGUGUGCCAUCAAUUUUUAGUGAGCAAUGUCGACACUGAUAGUGCAAUGACAAAUGUGGAAUCUAAACUAAUAAAACGUCGAUCGACGCAGCAUGUGCCCUCGAUUGACCGGAUUGAACGGCGGGGACGAAAAAUUCCCUUGACUGAUUGAUUUGGAUCGAUCGGAGAAUGAAUUGAUGCAGUACUGUAGUGAACUGGUGUUGUUCCAAGUGUCACACAUACCACCAGUAGACGCAGCAAUUGCGAUCUAUCGAGUUGCAACUCUAGUCUGGUGGCAUGGUAUCCGACUAUAUAUCCGGCACGCCAUCCAUGCACUUAUCCCUCUCUUUUUUUGGAAAUGCACUUAUCCCUCCUGAUCUCCAACAAUAGUAUGUAAAAACUUAUCCUCGACGCCCAAAUUAAGAUCAUAUCCCUGGACCCUCCGGCAGGCCUUUUACAAGUAUUGGGGUCAAUGCAAGCAUCUAAAUUUGGACCACAAGGGCACUAGCAAGCUAGUUGAAUGAAUAUGGCCGGUGGAACAGAUGGUACAAAGGUACCUUCAUCAUUUGCAGCUUGGAAUUGCUUGGCCGAUCGAUCGAUGGAAAAGCUGAAAUAGACGGGCUGCGAGGUGGACGACACAGCACAUAUAUACCACGGCUGAAUGGAUACACUGUGUUUGGUUGAAUUGGGUGGUACCUUAUAAGCUAGCUAACUUCAGCGCGCUUCAAAAGAAAAAGAAAAUGCCGAUCGAGAGAGAGAGAGAGCUAGAUAUUACAUCAGUAAUCACGUCUGCAUGUCUCCAUCGUGAACUAGAACCUAGAAGUAGUACGUACGAGCUACUACUCCAUCGAUAUGAUGAUCUCGGUCCCAAUUGACUCCAAACUAAGUGGCCUGUAAUAGUUUGUACUGCAAUAUCGCUAGCUAGAUAUGGAACCCAAGCUACAGUAGGAGGGGACGUCCUAAUGCUUGCUGCGAUUCCAACUUCACCUUGUUGCCUAGCUACCUACUAAUCUUGGCCGGUUAAUUUGGGGAUGAUGUGUUCAUACUUACAUGUAUAUCUAUAUAUCUACUCGACAGAUUCAGCUAGUGCUGGCAGGAUCUUGCAUAUCAGUUCUCCUGAGCUUAAAUGCUUAAUGGGACAUGUUAACAAGAUUAUAUAACAAGCAUGCAUAUAUCAGUCAUGACCAGUCAUCAGGGCCGGCCCAAUGUUUAGAGGGGCCCUGUGCCAAAAAAAAAUGGGCCCUUUAUGUUGGGAAAAAAAAAAAAAAAAACUUGAAAUAGCACUGAAUCAAACCUAUGACCUAUUUGCAAAAGAAAAUAAGAAGGGCCUCACCA